rnacentral:misc_RNA from 1 species
UGCGUUUUCCCGUGAUGUGAUUUCGAUGUGUUCGUUCCACGUGUCCGAGCUGCUUCUUCGUUUCAAAUACAUUUGGCGCCGCUGCCUAUUGUUUGAGCCUGUGCUCACGAUGAAAACACGCAUCGCAGAAACCUGAAAGCCCGCCAAAAGAGCUCUAAAAACCGCAUCCCAGACCUGCCGGCAGACUUCCGAGCUAAGCCUGAUUAAACAAAAACGUUUGAUCCGGCGGAAUAAUGUGUUUGAUAUUACAUCCCAUGUCAACAAGGAACUGCGCUGUCUGUCUUCGCCCCCAACAGGUUUUAUUCUUCCGGGUUUUUCAAAUCUUUACCAACCCGCGUCCGAUCGUAAUACCCCGAUCACAACAAAUAGUUGAUCGUGCUCCGAUGGCUCCAAACAUCAGCCGGCAAGGAAGUUACGUUUUUCGCUUCUAUAUUUUGACCCAAGUGAUGGCUGGUCGUGGUUCAUCAGCGUUUGUUUUGAAACUGAUGGGUACCACAAGGCAUGAAGGAGGUGACUUGCAGCAGCAAGGCACUGCAAGCCUUCGCAGCAACUGGCUAGCCAGUGCUGCUCUGUUCUGAAUUGCACUGCGUGUCAUGCGGAGGUUUUGUGCAAGCUCUCUGGGCGGCGACGCUAGCCACGAUUGGCUUCGUGGAUGCACAGAAAUACUCAAGGCGCUUGACGUCUGUGGCUCAUCUGUAUUGUUUUUCCCGGUACCACGGCAUGAAGGAGCUGGCCUCCCUCCCUUCCAUCAGCUGCGAGAUACUACAAGCACUGGGCUACAGCUGCAGCUAGCCCAUGGGUACCGGGGACCAUGACAUCAGUGAGCUGGCUUUCACCUUGUCCAAGGCAGCAGCGGAACACUACGGGCGGGACCCUGGAUCACUGCACCAUGGAUGCCGUCCUGUACCCUGCACGGCACUGCGUGUGGCUUAAGUGGCCAAGCAGAGGGUCAUUGCAUGACUUUUAUGAGGCGCCGCUAGCCAUUGUUUCAAACCACCCUGAAUCGUGGAUCAAGCCUUGCAAGAUGGAAGUUCUCUUUAGGCCCAGCGCCUCUUGAUGGAUCAAGUCUUGUACCCCAUUCCCUCGUGUCUUUCAUAUAAGUAAAUUGUUGGUAUUUCUUUUA